rnacentral:rRNA from 1 species
UACGGAGGGUGCGAGCGUUGUCCGGAAUCACUGGGCGUAAAGGGCGCGUAGGCGGCCUGGUAAGUAGGGGGUGAAAUCCUGCGGCUUAACCGCAGGGCUGCCUUCUAAACUGUCAGGCUUGAGCACAGUAGAGGCAGGUGGAAUUCCCGGUGUAGCGGUGGAAUGCGUAGAUAUCUGGAGGAACACCGGUGGCGAAGGCGACAUCCUGGACCGGUAUUGACGCUGAGGCGCGAAAGCCAGGGGAGCAAACGGG